rnacentral:tRNA from 1 species
GGGCCGUUAGCUCAUCUGGUAGAGCACCGGACUUUUAAUCCGGGUGUGGAAGGUUCGAGUCCUUCACGGCCCA